UGCUUGUCUUCAAAGAUUAAGCCAGUCCAUGGGUAGGUUAAAAAAGAUUUUUGUACGGUGAAAGUGGGAAUGGCUCAUUAAAUCAGUAAUAGUUUCUUUGAGGGAACCUUGUUAUUAGGAAAACCGUAGUAAUUCUAGAGCUAAUAGGUGCACAAAUUCCUGACUGGCCCCCUUCGCGGGGGUUUGGAAGGGAGGUAUUUUUUGGAUAAAAGGCCGAUGCGGGCUUGCCCGGUGUUGCGGUGAAUCAUGAUAAUUUGUCGAAUCGCACGGCCCCCUGCGCUGGGGAGUUUCAUUCAAAUUUUUGCCCUAUCAACCUUUGAUGGUAGGAUAGAGGCCUAC
rnacentral:rRNA from 1 species